rnacentral:rRNA from 1 species
CCUACGGGAGGCAGCAGUAGGGAAUUUUCGUCAAUGGGGGGAACCCUGAACGAGCAAUGCCGCGUGAGUGAGGAAGGUCUUCGGAUCGUAAAGCUCUGUUGUAAGAGAAAAACGGCACUCAUAGGGAAUGAUGAGUGAGUGAUGGUAUCUUACCAGAAAGUCACGGCUAACUACGUGCCA